GUUUCUGUGGCGCAGUGGUUCAGUGUGCUUGGCUGUUAAGAUUGGUGGUUUGAGCCCACCCAGGGAUG